GUGGGGAAUAUUGGACAAUGGGCGAAAGCCUGAUCCAGCCAUGCCGCGUGAGUGAUGAAGGCCUUAGGGUUGUAAAGCUCUUUCGCCGAGGACGAUAAUGACGGUACUCGGAUAAGAAGCCCCGGCUAACUUCGUGCCAGCAGCCGCGGUAAUACGAAGGGGGCUAGCGUUGUUCGGAAUUACUGGGCGUAAAGCGUAUGUAGGCGGGUCGUUAAGUUAGGGGUGAAAUCCCAAGGCUCAACCUUGGAACUGCCCUUGAUACUGGCGAUCUUGAGUCCGGGAGAGGUGAGUGGAACUGCGAGUGUAGAGGUGAAAUUCGUAGAUAUUCGCAAGAACACCAGUGGCGAAGGCGGCUCACUGGCCCGGUACUGACGCUGAGAUACGAAAGCGUGGGGAGCAAACAGGAUUAGAUACCCUAGUAGUCC
rnacentral:rRNA from 1 species